rnacentral:lncRNA from 1 species
UUGUUACAAAGGAGAGGAACAUACAAUAGUCGAAGACCAUAAUUGUUGUUACAUCUUCACAUAAAAUAUAAGCACCAAUGUUUCUUUUUUUCCCCAAUAAUCUUCAUCACUGCCAAAUUGAUUCCUCAUAUAAUAGGAAGAAUGAAAAAGAAAACCCAAGCAGUAUAUAAACAACAGUAUUUCUCUGCACCAAAAGUAAAGAAUAAACUAAGAAACCAAGGGUUAAAUGCACAACCUUCAACUCUUCUGCCAAGCCAUUUUUCGAUACUCCAAUCCCCGGCAAAAAUCCAUUUCCCAGUGAUAACUCUGGAUCUGACAUGCUUCCAGAACCCUGCAAUACCCAUGGUUCUCACUAUCUUCAAAAAUUCCAGAAUGCUCAUGGCCAUCUGCUAAUUUCUAACCCAAAAAUUUUCAAAAUGAAGAAACUCACCUCGCAACUGAGAUUAUGAAUCUUGUAAUUUGAUCCAAAUACACUUUCAGCUCCUAAAGUUCGCUUACAUGGAUCAGCCAGCUGUCUGUCACCCUGAACAACAACUUCGCAGACAUCACAC